rnacentral:piRNA from 1 species
UGGGGACACAGAGGGCUCAUUGACG